rnacentral:rRNA from 1 species
CCUACGGGAGGCAGCAGUGGGGAAUAUUGGACAAUGGGCGCAAGCCUGAUCCAGCAAUGCCGCGUGUGUGAAGAAGGCCUGAGGGUUGUAAAGCACUUUCAAUAGAGACGAAAAGCGCAGGGUUAAUACCCUUGUGUCUUGACUUAACCUAUAGAAGAAGCACCGGCUAACUCCGUGCCAGCAGCCGCGGUAAUACGGAGGGUGCAAGCGUUAAUCGGAAUUACUGGGCGUAAAGCGCUCGUAGGCGGUUUGUUAAGUCGGAUGUGAAAGCCCCGGGCUUAACCUGGGAACUGCAUUCGAUACUGGCAGACUAGAGUAUAGUAGAGGCAAGUGGAAUUCCGGGUGUAGCGGUGAAAUGCGUAGAUAUCCGGAGGAACAUCAGUGGCGAAGGCGACUUGCUGGACUAAUACUGACGCUGAGGAGCGAAAGCGUGGGGAGCAAACGGGAUUAGAUACCCCGGUAGUCCACGCUGUAAACGAUGUCAACUAGCCGUUGGGGGUCUUAGUACCCUUAGUGGCGCAGCUAACGCAUUAAGUUGACCGCCUGGGGAGUACGGCCGCAAGGUUAAAACUCAAAUGAAUU